ACAGGUGUUGCAUGGCUGUCGUCAGCUCGUGUCGUGAGAUGUUCGGUUAAGUCCGCUAACGAGCGCAACCCUCGUCGUAUGUUAUAUGUGUCAUACGAGACUGCCGGUAAAAGCCGGAGGAAGGUGAGGAUGAUGUCAAGUCAGCAUGACCUUUAUAUCCAGGGCUACACACACGCUACAAUGGUCUGUACAAUGGGUAGCCAAGCCGCGAGGCGGAGCCAAUCCUGAAAGCAGGCCUCAGUUCAGAUUGCAGUCUGCAACUCGACUGCAUGAAGCCGGAGUUGCUAGUAACCGCAGGUCAGCAAUACUGCGGUGAAUACGUUCCCGAGUCUU
rnacentral:rRNA from 1 species